UCCCCGCUGCGGCAGGCUCUGAGCCUCUUGGU
rnacentral:piRNA from 1 species